rnacentral:misc_RNA from 1 species
UUGAUUCUAAUGUUUUCAUUCAGACGACACACAUGUUUUCAGCAUAAAAGCGGCGACCCCAGAGGGGACGCCGAAGCACAGUGUUGCUUCCACAGGUUUGAAGGGGUAGAAGGUCAAAGACCAUUCAAUAAUGAUCCCUCCGCAGGUUCACCUACGGAGA